GAUGAACGCUGGCGGCGUGCCUAAUACAUGCAAGUAGAACGCUGAAGGAGGAGCUUGCUCUUCUGGAUGAGUUGCGAACGGGUGAGUAACGCGUAGGUAACCUGCCUGGUAGCGGGGGAUAACUAUUGGAAACGAUAGCUAAUACCGCAUGACAACAGUUAUUGCAUGAUAACUGUUUAAAAGGGGCAACUGCUCCACUACCAGAUGGACCUGCGUUGUAUUAGCUAGUUGGUGAGGUAACGGCUCACCAAGGCGACGAUACAUAGCCGACCGGAGAGGGUGAUCGGCCACACUGGGACUGAGACACGGCCCAGACUCCUACGGGAGGCAGCAGUAGGGAAUCUUCGGCAAUGGACGGAAGUCUGACCGAGCAACGCCGCGUGAGUGAAGAAGGGUUUCGGAUCGUAAAGCUCUGUUGUAAGAGAAGAACGAGUGUGAGAGUGGAAAGUUCACACUGUGACGGUAUCUUACCAGAAAGGGACGGCUAACUACGUG
rnacentral:rRNA from 1 species